ACGGGUGAGUAACACGUGGGCAACCUGCCCUUGAGACUGGGAUAACUUCGGGAAACCGGAGCUAAUACCGGAUAAUACAAGGAACCUCCUGGUUCCUUGUUGAAAGAUGGUUUCGGCUAUCACUUAAGGAUGGGCCCGCGGCGCAUUAGCUAGUUGGUGAGGUAACGGCUCACCAAGGCGACGAUGCGUAGCCGACCUGAGAGGGUGAUCGGCCACACUGGGACUGAGACACGGCCCAGACUCCUACGGGAGGCAGCAGUAGGGAAUCUUCCACAAUGGACGAAAGUCUGAUGGAGCAACGCCGCGUGAGUGAUGAAGGCCUUCGGGUCGUAAAGCUCUGUUGUUAGGGAAGAACAAGUGCGAGAGUAACUGCUCGCACCUUGACGGUACCUAACCAGAAAGCCACGGCUAACUACGUGCCAGCAGCCGCGGUAAUACGUAGGUGGCAAGCGUUAUCCGGAAUUAUUGGGUGUAAAGCGCGCGCAGGUGGUUUCUUAAGUCUGAUGUGAAAGCCCACGGCUCAACCGUGGAGGGUCAUUGGAAACUGGGGAACUUGAGUGCAGAAGAGGAAAGUGGAAUUC
rnacentral:rRNA from 1 species